rnacentral:rRNA from 1 species
ACGAACGCUGGCGGCGUGCUUAACACAUGCAAGUCGAACGGAAAGACCCUGCUUUUGUGGGGUGCUCGAGUGGCGAACGGGUGAGUAACACGUGAGUAACCUGCCCUUGACUUUGGGAUAACUUCAGGAAACUGGGGCUAAUACCGGAUAGGAGCUCCUGCUGCAUGGUGGGGGUUGGAAAGUUUCGGCGGUUGGGGAUGGACUCGCGGCUUAUCAGCUUGUUGGUGGGGUAGUGGCUUACCAAGGCUUUGACGGGUAGCCGGCCUGAUAGGGUGACCGGCCACAUUGGGACUGAGAUACGGCCCAGACUCCUACGGGAGGCAGCAGUGGGGAAUAUUGCACAAUGGGCGGAAGCCUGAUGCAGCAACGCCGCGUGCGGGAUGACGGCCUUCGGGUUGUAAACCGCUUUCGCCUGUGACGAAGCGUGAGUGACGGUAAUGGGUAAAGAAGCACCGGCUAACUACGUG